rnacentral:rRNA from 1 species
UUUUCUUAGUAGCGGCGAGCGAAAAGAAAUCAGUUCAGCACUAAGUCACUUUGUCUUUAUGGCAAAUGUGAGAUGCAGUGUAUGGGACGUCUACAAUCUAGUAUGAGAAAUUAAUGAUUUAAGUCCUUCUUAAAUGAGGCCAAUUACCCAUAGAGGGUGCCAGGCCCGUAUAACGUUAAUGAUUACUAGAAGGCGAUUCCAAAGAGUCGUGUUGCUUGAUAGUGCAGCACUAAGUUGGUGGUAAACUCCAUCUAAAACUAAAUAUGACCAUGAGACCGAUAGUAAACAAGUACCGUGAGGGAAAGUUGAAAAGAACUCUGAAUAGAGAGUUAAAUAGUACGUGAAACUGCUUAGAGGUUAAGCCCGAUGAACCUGAAUAUCCAUUAUGGAAAAUUCAUCAUUAAAAUUGUAAUAUCUUUACUUUUUUGUUUUUUUUAACAAAAAGAAAGAAAAUAUUAUAAUGAUAGUGUGCAUUUUUUCCAUAUAAGGACAUUGUAAUUUAUUAACAUAAUAAAAUAUUUAUCAAAAAAUCAUAAACAUAAAGUUUAUUUAAAUUAUUAUGCUUGCAUUUUAACAUAGAAUAAAUGUUAAUGAUUUGAUAAAGUGUUGAUAAAUUUAUCAUAUAUACAAUGCUUUAAUUUUUCGAAAUUAUAUAAUAGCAUAAUUAUCAUUGAUUUUUAUGUUUAUUAUAUGCAUUUGUAUGAUUAACAAUGCGAAAGAUUUAGGAUACCCUCGGGACCCGUCUUGAAACACGGACCAAGGAGUCUAACAUAUAUGCAAGUCAUUGGGAUUUUAUAAACCUAAUGGCAUAAUUAACUUAACUGUUAAUAUAUGGGAUUAGUUUUUAAACUAUUUAUAGUUUAUUAACACAAUCCCGGGGCGUUCUAUAUAGUUAUGUAUAAUAAUAUUUAUAUUAUU